UACAGAGGAGCCAAGCGUUGUCCGGAUUGACUGGGCGUAAAGCGCACGCAGGCGGACGCGCGCGUGGGGUGUGAAUACUGGCCGCUUAACGGCCAGGCGCCAUCCCAUACGGCGGGUCUGGAGCUAUGCAGAGGUCGGUGGAAUUGCCGGUGUAGUGGUGAAAUGCGUAGAUAUCGGAGGAACACCGAUGGCGAAAGGCGA
rnacentral:rRNA from 1 species